rnacentral:lncRNA from 1 species
UCUCUAUAUGCCAGCUUUAUAGCACCAGACCUGAAUUUACACAGGAGCCCCGUCUGUAAAAGCUGUCAGACAAUCUCAAGAGAUUCUUGGGAAGUGAAGCUCCUCCUAUUUGCAAAGAAAAACUCCUUCCCUUGAAAUUUAGACAUACAACAUCCCUACCUCGCAUCCUUUUGAACCUAUGGUUGCUUGAGAUAAAGUUUUUUGUUUUAAUGUUCAUGUCGUAGAAAUAUUUUUGUGAUUUUAUACUUAAAUUCUACUUAUAUUCAUUGUAACCAGAAACUCUUAACUCUAAUUGUACAUUUUGGGAAGUAUUGAGAUUGUGAGCUAUUAUAAG